CCCGAGAUAGGGAUGUGGCUCCGUAGAGCAGUGCGGUUCUUGCGCUGUCCGGUGCGCUCGCGUCGCCCUGAAAAUCCGAGUGAGGGAGUGUGAUUUUCGUGCCGGACCGUACCCACAUCGCAGCAGGUCUGCAAGGUGAACAGCCUCUAGUCGAUGGACCAAUGUAGGUAAGGGAAGUCGGCAAAACGGAUCCGUAUCUUGGGAUAAGGAUUGGCUCUGAGGACUGAGCCGGUCGGGCUGGGGACCUGAAGCAGGAACGGCACUGCACCGGGACUGGGCGGGGCUCGCCGUUCACGCGGCGCGGCCAAGCCCGGACCAGCGUCGGGACCUUCCUGUGGAAAGCCUCAGCUGCGCGGCGUCUGAGGGCUUCGUGCCCAAAGUGCUAUGCUUCGGCCGGCAAAAAACAGUCAACUCAGAACUGGCACGGACCGGGGGAAUCCGACUGUCUAAUUAAAACAAAGCAUUGCGAUGGCCGCUGGUCGGUGUUGACGCAAUGUGAUUUCUGCCCAGUGCUCUGAAUGUCAACGUGAAGAGAUUCAUCAAAGCGCGGGUAAACGGCGGGAGUAACUAUGUCUCUGGUUGCGAAAUACUCCGUGUCGGUUGCGAAAUACUCCGUGCCGGAGGUCCUGGAGCAGGUGCGGGGGAGCCGUCAAACGGAUCCCCUUGUAUCCAGUGUCACCCUUUCCUACAGAGGUGUGUGGGCGU
rnacentral:ncRNA from 1 species